rnacentral:sRNA from 1 species
GCCCGCAGGGAGAUUUAUGACAAAUUCCAGUUUUCAACAAUGCUGAAAUCAAAUGAUUGCUUGUUUUCUUUGGAAAAUUUGUGUUUUGAAAAACCAGAUGAAGUUGAAAACCAUCCAGACAACGAAAAGUCAUUGGAUUGGUUUCUCCCUCCUGCUCCAUUGAUUUCAGAAAUUCCAGUUACUCAGGAGUUAGAGGAAGAAUUAGAAAGUCAUAAACUGUUAGGUCAGGAAAAGAGGCCAAAAAUGUUAACAUCAAAUUUAAAGAUAACUAAUGAAGACACAAAUUAUAUUUCACCAACACAAAAAUUCCAAUUUGCCUUUUCUUCUGAUAAAUAUGAACAGGAUGAUCUAAAUUUAGAAGGGGUAGGUAACAAUGACUUAUCACAUGUUGCUGGCAAGCUGACAUAUGCUUCUCAGAAAUAUAAAAAUCACAUUGGCACUGAGAUAGCACCUGAGAAGAGUGUUCCUGAUGAUACAAAAUUAGUUAAUUUUGCAGAAGAUAAAGGAGCGAGCACAUCAGUAUUCCGGAAAAGAUUAUUUAAAAUAUCUGACAAUAUACAUGGGAGUGCUUAUUCUAAUGACAGUGAAUUGGACUCUCACAUUGGCUCAGUGAAAAUUGUACAAACAGAAAUGAACAAAGGGAAAUCAAGGAACUAUAGCAAUAGUAAGCGGAAAUUUCAAUAUUCUGCAAAUGUGUUUACAGCAAAUAAUGCUUUUUCUGCUUCUGAAAUCGGAGAAUGCAUGUUCAAAGCACCAUCUUUUUCAGUUGCUUUCCAGCCUCAUGAUAUUCAAGAGGUAACAGAAGAUGGUUUAGGUUCCUUGAAGGCUGUCACAGAAAUUCCGGCAAAAUUUAGAAGUAUUUUCAAAGAAUUUCCAUAUUUCAACUAUAUACAGUCCAAGGCCUUUGAUGAUCUUCUUUACACAGAUAGGAAUUUUGUGAUUUGUGCUCCAACUGGUUCUGGAAAAACUGUAGUGUUUGAACUAGCUAUAACAAGAUUGUUAAUGGAAGUACCAUUGCCAUGGUUGAAUAUUAAAAUUGUUUACAUGGCACCAAUAAAAGCCUUGUGCAGUCAGCGUUUUGAUGACUGGAAAGAGAAAUUUGGACCAAUAGGAUUGAAUUGUAAAGAACUUACUGGAGAUACAGUAAUGGACGAUCUAUUUGAGAUUCAGCAUGCCCAUAUUAUUAUGACAACUCCAGUAGGAAAAAUGGGAUAGCAUGACUAGGAAAUGGAGAGACAACUCUUUGGUUCAACUGGUUCGACUGUUUCUCAUUGAUGAGGUACAUAUUGUAAAAGAUGAAAAUCGUGGUCCAACUCUUGAAGUUGUAGUUAGCAGAAUGAAAACUGUACAGUCUGUUUCUCAGACUUUAAAAAAUACCAGCACUGCUAUUCCAAUGCGAUUUGUAGCUGUAUCUGCAACAAUUCCAAAUGCUGAGGAUGUGAGUUACAAUUUUAACUAAGCUCUUAGGUUUUUUAUGACUUGUGAAAUAUUUAGUCCUCUUGAUCUUAGAGAAAAGUGAAUUUUUUUGUCCUUUCCUUUAAUAGGAAAGUAUGUUGUAGAAAGUUGUGGCUAGAUCUCAUAAAUAUGACAGUAUUAAGGCCAUAAAAUUUGGUUAAUCAGGUUUAAUAAAAUAUUUUUUGUGGACAUGUGGACAUCUCUUGUUUGCUAGUAUCUAACAGUCUUAGUUUCCUGGGUUUCAGGUGCCUUAUAAUAACUUCACUAACAAUAUGUGAUGGUUGUUGUAACUAGCUGACUCUAAUUGUAUAGCGAAGUACGGUGGAGAAUAAAAAUAAUCGCUUAGAUGAUUACCACUUGCUCCUCAAUUCUGUAUGCUUGGCAUUGUGGUAAGCACUAAAUAUAGACGCAAAAGUGAAAAUAUAUGGACUCCGUCCUUGAGGAGGAUCUCAUGGUUAAUGGGGUACAUGGACAUGUAAAGAAAUAAUCAUGUGCACUAUUAUACUUUCCAUAAUGAAUAUAUGACUUAAUUUUUUCUUCAAUUUUUAAGUAAACGUCUUGAAAAAU